rnacentral:lncRNA from 1 species
CUCACCAUUCCUCACGACUGCUCGCCCCUCUCUCUCUCAACUGCUCGAUUCUCUCUCCCCUUCUCACGAAAAUCGCCCUCACCAUCAAAAUUCCGACUGCCGCGGAGCUCGCCGGAGCGAGCGGCGACAACCACCGCCCCUUGGUUCUCCCUUCUCUCGCACUGAAACGUACCCGACAUCCCACAGCAAUGAGCGGCGCCCGAGCCCUAGCUCCCUCUCUCUCAGUUCAAAACAGAGGAUAACCGCCUCCGUCCAUCUCUCUCUCACCGUGGCUGGAGGAUAGCGGCAGAGCCGCCGUGCCCUAGCCCCCUCCUCUCUGACUUCCGCCAACGAGCAGCGGAAGCCGCUCUCUUCCCCGAUUCCGGCGAGUAGCAGCGAUAAGCUGCCGCUCCACCGUUCUCCGCUCAGAUCUCCUCCUUGGCGACGACGGAACGCCGCCGCCUCCCUCGGCCUCUCUCUCGGCCUUUCGGCGACAGCAGCCAAGCCACCAUCGCCGACACCCUCAGCUGUACCCAGCCCAUCUCUCCCUCUCUGAAACUUUCGACGACAGCAGUAGAUGGAGCAGACUGCCGCCGCCGUCUUGACCUCCCUCCACCUCUCGACUCUAAACCACACGAGGUAAACUUUUAUUCCUUACCCAACUCGACACAGCAGUCCAUAGUUGAAAGUAAACUCAUAAAAUUAUUUCUUUAAAUCAUUCAAACUUGUAUAACAGUAUAGUACCUCCCAUUCAACAACAUACACAUAUAUACAGAAAUGAUGAGAUGGUUAUGCUCGUAUGAUAUGUCAUGAAUUUACUGCUUAAUAAUGUGUAUAAACUCGUGUGGUUUACUGAAAUAAGAUUGGAGAGGUGUUUAAAUCAUAUGCAGAACGAAAUAGAUGUAGGUGUUCAAGAUGAAACCUUUGAAAGACAAUGAUAUGUGCUUGUUGCUUUUUCUCUGCUUCUUUUGCCUUUGGUGAUAAGGAUGGCGAAUGAGAAUUUACUGAAAUGAAGUCAUGUUGAUCUUUGGUGAAUGCAGGAAGAAACCUGUAGAGAAAUGGGGAAGAUUGAGGCAAGGAUUACCUUGGAUGCUUGCAGAAAUGAGUGGAGUUUCUCCUGCUCUCCUCGUGGAGUUAGUGUAGAAUGGUGAAGGAAGUUGCUAGCUGAUCUAU